rnacentral:lncRNA from 1 species
UGGUUCUCUACUGCCUUGCCACAGGUGAGGCCAAAAAUUAUGUUGAUGACACUAGUUGUCGAUCGAUUGCUAUUGUCCUCUUCGUCGGGCUGGCAUUGCUGCGGCUCUUCAGGGGCUCAAUUCCACUGCUUCUGAAUAUACUUGCUGAAGUAGUCUCUUUGGAUUAGGGCCUAGAUCUUAUCCUUGAGCUGGAGACAUUCCUCAGUAUUAUGACCGUGGUCAUAAUGAAAGCAAUAGUACUAUCUUUUGAUCCUCUUGUCCAAAGAAACUUUCAUUGGUUCGAGCCGUCGAAGAUACUUCUGACCCUUGAUCUCCAUUAGGAUUAGAGCUCGAGG